rnacentral:rRNA from 1 species
GACGUAGGGCGCGAGCGUUGUCCGGAUUUAUUGGGCGUAAAGAGCUCGUAGGCGGCUUGUCGCGUCGUCCGUGAAAACCUGCAGCUCAACUGCAGGCUUGCGGUCGAUACGGGCAGGCUAGAGUUCGGUAGGGGAGACUGGAAUUCCUGGUGUAGCGGUGAAAUGCGCAGAUAUCAGGAGGAACACCGGUGGCGAAGGCGGGUCUCUGGGCCGAAACUGACGCUGGAGACGCGAAAGCGUGGGGAGCAAACAGG